rnacentral:rRNA from 1 species
UACGUAGGGUGCAAGCGUUGUCCGGAAUUAUUGGGCGUAAAGAGCUCGUAGGCGGUUUGUCGCGUCUGCUGUGAAAUCCCGAGGCUCAACCUCGGGCCUGCGAGUGGGUACGGGCAGACUCGAGUGGCGGUAGGGGAGAUUGGAAUUCCUGGUGUAGCGGUGGAAUGCGCAGAUAUCAGGAGGAACACCGAUGGCGAAGGCAGAUCUCUGGGCCGUAACUGACGCUGAGGAGCGAAAGCAUGGGGAGCGAACAGG